ACUAAAAAAAUUAAAAUAAAUCUCUAUACCUUUGGAGUUUUUAGUGAAAAAAAGGGAUCUGCUCUGCCAGUAAGAGUGAAAAAGCUGCUAAACAAUCUAUGGCUUAAAUGAUGUCGCAAGUCUGCAGCUUGGAAAAUAUGCUGAGUCUUUUUCAUGUGUCUUGAGUUAUACUGUGAUUUACAGCAUUAUUGAAUUUUAAGAGUAUAUAAUGUUAGUGUGCAAUUAUUGCCAGGGCUGCCUCUUAUUCAUCUCUGAGUUUUAACAAGUAUUGUAUCUCACUGUUUUCCUCUAUUGGAAGCAAGAGCCAAAACAACUGGAGGCACAUCAGCAAGUUUUUUUCUGAGAUCAUAGAACAGAAUAUUAUCAGAAAACCGUAGGGGUUUGCUCGAAAAAGAAAUAUCUGCAUUUUCCUUGACAUUUCAUAUUCCUAAAAAUGCCUUUGCUGAUAUGGAGCUGCAGGAAACCAAUAUCCUCUGACAACCCUAUAUUACAGUGACACUAUCUCUUAAUGUCAGUAAGUUGUGGGGAGAAAAAGGGCUCUGUAUCUGAUGCAGGAGAUAUCCAGAGCUCCAGACUAAUAUCUUAGCAUAGAUCUUCCACUUCUCACUGAUCUUAAAGAUACUGUGAAAUAUUCCUGGGAAAUUAUGUCUGUAAGUGGUCAGAUUCCAGACCUGGAUUCAUUUCCAGGAGGCUGGAUGUCAAUGUGCUUGGAAGCCAUGCCACAUUUUGUAUUAUAGCUUCCCAUCCCUAUUUCACAUUCAGCCUGGGGAAAAGCUAAAGCUAAAAUCUUCUUAAGGGAUAAGUAGCAAUCUUAAGUCAUGGAUAAGUAUAAGAGCAGAAGUGUGGCGAUGUAACUGUUGAGUCCAUUUCCCUACUUCCUAAUUGCUCCCUAAUCCCUCGUUAGAACUCCCUAAUUCCUAAUUAGGACAUCCUAAUCAGAAUCCCACCACUGUCAUCAGUGGUGCUUUGAAAGCCCCAGAUUAGAGGAAUGGCACCAGCCUUUAGCUGAACACUUAUUAUGUGUGUUUGGAUAACUCUCCAUGCCAAUGGGCCAAGUGUCCCAACUGCCUCAAAAGCCAUCUCAUCUCAAGGCAGACACCUAAGAGAGGGUGUGGGAAUUUCAGGAAUGUCCAUUUCCCUUAACAGCCUGCAAGGACAACAGCCAGUGCUCAGCCUGGCUGUGGAUGCACACAGUCUGAGUCUAGGUGGGAUGCAGCUUGCCCUCAGCAUCUGCACGUAGAGUUCCUUUGGACCAGCUUUCACGAAUAACAAGGCACAAGGUGAAGAGUUCCUCAGAGACAAGGGCUCUUGAGGACUUUGAAUUCAAAGUGAUCUGGAUACACCGGAAAAAGGCACUCAGAGUCCACGAGAUGAAACCUGAUAGAGCCAAACACUGCAUGUAGGGGAGGAAAUGUCAAUGUAAAUAAAAAAUGAGAUAUGUCUGGUAGGGGGCAGCACUGCCAAAAACCAUCUGGGCUUACAAUGCACCAUAAAUUAAAUUGGAGGAAAUGGAUUGGUGCAGAGAGACCAUGUUUCAUUUUGAGGUGUGUUUACAGAAAUCUUGCAUGUUAAACAGAGAAGCUAAUUACUCUGCAUUGCUCAUUGCUCAGGUCUCAGCUGGAGGCUUGUGUUACAUCUUUCUGGUUUUUAUAAGGAAAAAUACUUACAUUGGCCAGAGGUCAAAGGAGGGAAGCAAAAAGGAAAAAAAAAAAAAAAAAAAAAAAAAAAAAAAAAAAAAAAAAAAAAGCCACAGAAACAGUGACCUAUGAGGUCAGGAUGAAAGAAUUAGGUUUUUAAGACCUCUGGGAAAACAAAAGAGAAGAUGGAGCAGGGUUAUAAUAGCAGCCUUCAAACAGUUCAAAGGAUCUCUUGAAUAGGACAGUGACCAAUAUGUUUUUGUGACCACAGUGGGCAGGAUAGGCUGUAAUCUGUUUAAUUUGCCACAGGGAAGAUUGAGAUUGGAUAUGGGGAAAAUUAUUUUGUCUUUGAGAGCAAUAAAGUGUUGAAAUAGCCUCCUUGGGAAGCCAUGGGAUUUCCUUGAGCAAGGGCAAGUCAGACAUCUGUCAGGGAUGCCAAGAGCAUGUGAGCCAGUCUGAAAGCAGAGGUGGACUGGUGUCUCUAUUGAUGUUUUUCAAGAGGGGUUCACAACCCAUGUGGAGGAUGUGAAAGACCCAAAGAGAGCAGUGAAGUGAUAAAGAAAAAAUAAGUCUAUGUUAAUGAUAAAGCAAAGGUGAUGCUUAAGAAAAGACGAGCCUUAUGCAGUUUAAAAAUGUAUAAAAUUCUGCAGCUCAAAGGAUUUUCCUUUCUUAAAUAUUUGAUCUUGAAAUGCUACUCACAAAUCCAGCCUUCGAGGGGUUAUACUGAGACAGAGCAGCCAAAAACCAGGUCUGACUUUCAAAAAGGUAAACAGCAGCCUACAGCAUCUCCUUUUCCCUUCCAGCACUAUGCUGCUACAAUUUUUUGCAGUGUAGGUAAUACAGAGGGAUCCUGAGUAAUGAAAUCUUCUCAUGUGUCAGAUUCUCAGCCUCCUCCCACAAACAAAGCUGGGUUUUGAGGUAGAACACACUGGAGGGGGUUUUAAGAUGAACAGGGUUAGAAUUUAAGUACUUCUUCCUCCCUGAUAUGGAGUGUAGGCUGAGAUUCUGUCUGAAGCUGAAGUACCAAGAAAGAGGUUUAACAGUUGGAAACUGAAUUUUCCAGCUCCUUUCUUCCACCAGAUGUGUUAACCUGCCACACAGUGCCAGAAAGUUUCUAUUUUCAAUUUACUUUAGUAGUCAACUUACCUAUAAAAGUCAUGGACAGUGGUAAGGCAAGGAAAGCGAGGAGCCCAAAUAUAAAGCAUGCUGUGAAGGGGAAAAGAAAGACAGCGUUAUUUGGGCUAGUUCAAGUUUAGAGGCCAGCAGUUCCAUCCAGUCCUUUACAGAUGCUCUGUAUCUACACAGUUGUGCAGGAAGAAAUGCAGUGCACUUGAUGGGGUGGGAAUAUCCCCUCUGUGGUGCAGCAUUUGAGGUGACAGGACCAUCACAUGUUUUAUCACUUCCAGGGUGCAGCGAGAGACACAAACUGCUUUUGCAGCUACUACUUGUACUUGUCUUAUUGCAAGGGCAAGGAGUCAUCCACUGCUGCCUUAUCCUGCAUCCUUUUCAGAGGCACUGCCAGGCGACUUUGCAGUAACAAGUAAUUUUGCAUCAGCUAAUCCAUGGCAACUGAUGAGCCGUAUCUGUUUGCUAAGCAAAUAGCAGCUGUAAUGCCAUUCCACUUAGUUUUCAUUGAUAGCUAAAUAAACUGUCUUUAUCACAGAUGUGAAUGGUUUCUGGCUGGUCUAACUCCCUGGCCCAGCUUAGCUCAUGAGCGCAAAGGGAGCAGCCCUGCUGCAAGGAGUGGGAUUUGUCAUUGGGCCAGGUCAGCUGAAGCUGUGUGGAAGGAUGCUCUUAGGGGUGCACAGACUGUCCCUGCAGCCAUCCUCUGCCACCCCCUUGUUGUGCCUGGCCUGAGGACACACAGCCCGUUGCCCUCUGGCAUUUGUUUGGGAUCUGGAGGCAGUAUUGGAGGUGACACCAAUUCACAUCUGGGCUCCUCAGACUUCAUUUUGCUGCCACAAGUUUUCCAAGCAUUUGGAAGUUUCAGAUCAGCUCAGGCUGUGCCUAUUUAUUUUGAAGAGAGAGAAAAAUUUCUUUCUUUUCAGGUCUCAUUUCCCAGCUCUCAUCUUCAUAUCCCAGAGGAUAUCUCCAUCCGUACUGAGCCAUGGAAUGGAAUGGAAAUUAUGUAUGAGUGCCUGACCUCUGGUGAGUGCAUGUGUCUCAUACCAGCCACCAAACCUUCUCCAGCAGAGCAAAUACUGCACCUAUGGGCUGCAACUAUUGAUGAGCAUUUCAAGGAAAAAAUAAGCACUGUUGCCUGCUCAGGGAAAACAGAAAGGAGGAAGGGAAGCUGGUACUUUUCCCAAGCAAAUGACACAUUAAGACUUUCAGUGCAUAUUUGUUUCUAGAAGAUGCACAAACAGGCAUUCAUUUUGCAUCUGGCAAUGGCUGCUGACAAAGGUGUUCUAAAUUAUGCAGAGAUCAGGAAUAUUAGUCUUUAUUUAAAUGUUUAUGACUAAAUUUACUUUUAUAGCAGCAAUUCUUACAGAAACAAUAUUUAUCAAUCCAAUGCCAUAUUAAAAAUCAGUUAAAUAUCAAAUUAUAUUAGGCAGAUUUUGUCGUGGCUGGAAAUGUAUUUCCAUAAGCAGAGGGUAAAACGGACAUUUUGGCUUUAUUUACUGCUUUUUUACACUGAAAGAAAAAAGACAAACUGAAGGAGGACUCGGUAGCUGGAAGCAUGUCACCACCUAGUGACAGAGCCCAGGAGUGGCCGUGAAUCAGAGCUCGGUGCGUGCAGCUCUAACAGGUGAGAUAAAGAAAGAAUUCCAUGAUGGCUGCGCACGAGGUGUGUUCACACAAGAACACAACAUACAUAACUACAGGUAAUGGUUUCAGUCCUUCCUCAGACGUUGGCUUCGACUUCUCCAGGCCUGACAAAUCCCUCAGAGAAGUCACUGCACUUGCCAGAUAAAAAGUUGUUGCCCAUUUCCCCCACACCUUUUGUGAUUCUGCAGAAGCUGCUGUGGGUGUUGAGGAUGAAUUAUUUUCUUUUGUGCCAAUGCGUGAGGGUGCUAAAGUGCAAUUCAGCAGCCAGGCAGCUGCAGAACUGUUUUGUUUUCCAGCUGAAGCAGGGAAAUUGUCAUUUAAACUCACAAGAAACUGCAAUUGGCACAGCACGAAGACUGGUGGCAUACAAGGGCAGGAAGGUGUCCUGCCCCACUGUGCCUGCUCCCAGUUUGAUAGUGAGUUGAGACAACCAUAUGAAAACCAUAAAACUCAGCCAGGAAAAAAGUUAAAGACCAAAACCAACUUCUGGACCUCCUCCCAUCAGCCCUUCCCUGAGUUUGUUUCCCCAGUGGAAAGGGACCUGCCCUUGGGUUAGAAGGGCCAGCAAGCAGCAGGGACAAGACUCAGAACCCCCUGCAGGAGGCUGGAGCCUCUCCAUACACCUGCUUUUCAGGGGGGCAGGUUGCAGCCGAGCCACACUAGAGCCACAGCAGCCCUGUUCCUCUUCCAGGCUGUCCAACACUCCUCACUGAGUGCCCUCAGUGCUGGUGGUCGGUGGCCAGGUUUGCCCAGCCGGAACACAUGCUGUGUCUCACAUUACUGCCUCUUCUUGUGACUCAGUUCCUUGGCCCUUACAAGCAGCAGUGCUAAGUGUGUGUAGCACAGACCCUCCAGCCUGUUUCCUUUGUUAUUUCAGCUAGUUCUAGCCUUAAACUAUUUUUCUGGUCAUUAUUCUCACCCUAAAGGUUUAGGUAAUUGGAGUCAAAAGAAGGUGAGCACUGCCUGACUGGUGCAUGCCUGACCAUCAGCAAAGCCAAAAGACAACUUCAGGCUGGCCCCACCAUGUGCCAGUCCAAACAAGAGCCAUGUCCACGUCUGUACUGCGGUGUUUGGACUUUUCAAAUUGAGCUCUUCUCUCUCCCAGGUGCAGGCGCCCCACUCUGCACUGGUGCACACAGCAGACAAAAUUGGUGGGACUUCAGAAGAUCCUAGUUCCCACUCGAUGGCUUCUGACUGCCAGGAGGACCCUGCUGGGACACAGGACGUGUACAUGGGCCAGCAAAGCCCUCCGGAGCAGGGACUCUUCUCUAAGGACUGCUAGAGGGAACAACUUCUUUUUAUUUUUAUGAAAUAUUCAGAGCAAAGUCCUCUUCCAGAUCCUGUUUCCUAACAAACCAUAAAGCCCCACACUGGUUUUUAUGCCAGCACAUUGUCCUCUUCCCGGCAAAGCCUCCUUACCUGAGAGUGCUGCGGGUGCCAAAUCCGUUCACCUGCGCGGGUGGGAGAUGGGACAGGAAACCACAAAAUCCAGCCUUCGGUGGAAGCCAGCUGGGAGAGCCCUCUGCGGUGGGACCCCGGAGCUCUGCCCGGCUCCCUGGGGCUCUGCCCGGGGCGGGGAGGCACGGAGGGGGCUCGGCGGCUUUUAUUGCUCCCGGCCUGCCGCUCUCACAGCUCUCGACGGCAGCACCGGGGGAGCUGUGGGAUGCGGGAGCGCUCGGCGGCAGAGCCCAUCCUCAUUAGUUUCCCCACUCCCACGGCUGGCUGGAGCCACAGCCCACCCUGUGCCUUUUCAGGGUGACAGCAGGGGGAAGCAAAGGACCCCACACAACUGUGACUGUACAGGAGGGAAAAAAAUCAUUCGCUAAGUCUUUUCUUUUAGAGAGGAAAAAAAAAAAUUAUUCAGAAAUCUGUAGAGAGUGAUAAGUAUUUGGUUCAUUCUUCAUGCAAUCCCCCCCCCCCUUCCCCACCAAUACAGCUGAUAGAGCUCUUUGCAAACUACCACAGGUUUCACUUUAGCUGUUGGCUCCUCUAUGUCUUGUGUCACCCUGGCAGAGGUCUCUUUGUUAGGUGGUCACCUGCCAGAUCGCCUUCCCAUCAGCAGGUGACCAUCUGGCCUCUCAGGUGCAAUUAUAGGUGUGGAUAAUCUGCUGGAAAGCCCUUGUUUCUGCACAAGAAAAAGUGGGUUUGAGGGAGAGAACUUCUGCAGGAGGAGUGACAGCAUUAAUAAAGAUUGAUGUGUUUUGAGUCCGUUCAGGAAGGCCCUGCAAGAAAGAAAAGGUUACCUGCUGCACUAGGCAUCGGCAGGGGGCUGUCAAAGUGCCUGCUCCAGCUCAGAAGGAACAAUUCUGCUUUAAGCUGCCAGAUUUGCACAGUUCAUCACCAAUAUAACUCCCACUGCUACACAUUUUGCAUAAAGAAAAUGGGUCCACACUGGGUCAGCUGAGGUAAAGAAAAUGAUGGUGUUUGAUGGGUAACUUGGUAUGCUGCACGUGCACAAACACAGCCACAGGCUGCUUCUUACAGUCUCUGUGCUUUUCCCUGCAGCAAAGUCCAAUAUGCUGGAAAAAGCCCUGACCUUGUGGUGGAGUGACUGCCUGAUUGCCACAGCUUUGCAGAGUGAAAAUUUUGGAGGAGAAAGUUUGGCAGUGAAGCAGAAGUGCCAGGUGAAGCCUACUGCUGUGGAUGUUUCAGUUCCUUGGCUUCUUUCCACAAGACUGUCUUGAGGAAGGGAUGUUUAUGUGCUGGUCUCCGUGGCAGUUUGCUUGGCAAUGCCCAAGAGAAUACCUGCUUCCCAAAUCCAAAGAUACCUGAGCACUUGCAGCAAUGACAGAUGGCCCCUCCUGUGCGCAGUAACUUUUCCAAGAACACAGAUGCUCCCUUGAAUGAUACACCUCCACGUGGGCAGAAAUUAAAGCCUUUGCACAGCUAUAGCAUCAAACAAGGAGCUGUAGUGGGAACACAAAAACGCUCUGGAAAGAAGAAACAGCUCCUGGAGGAAGGGAAAAAAGCUGGUUUCUGACCUUCAGACAAUGAAGUAUUUUAGUAGAAGUUGCUUCUAGCAGAAGUACUGAGACAUUUGAAAAAAUCUUGAAACAAAAAUUUCAAGCUGGAACAGAUUUCCAAGGGCUAUCUGCUAGCAAUCAUGAUGGGUUUUAAUCUUGGUUUCUCCUGGAGUCUUCUUGAAACAUCUCAUUCUUCCUGCCUGUUCUCAGUUGCUGGCUGGAUGGUUGAUUCUGUGAUCAAAGAAUCUGGGUCAAGGUUUCACAAAGAAGUCACUGUGACUCACUGUCAUUGUGAAACCUUCUACCACCAAAAUGAAAAUUAACACUCCUGUCUAAAUUUUAAAACUAUUUCAAUAGAAAAAUAAAGACAACUUCUGUCAGUAAAGUGCCUCUUUCACAUCCUGUAGGAUCAGGGCCUGAGUUGCACUAAAUGUAUUUAAAACCCAUAUAAUGAAAAUAUUGCAUACUUGCGCAGAGAAGGUGUUCAAAUGACCAAAAUUUCAAAAACUAGCAACAUAAACCCAGGUUAAAAUACCUACUCUAAAGACAGACCUGAUCUUCUAAUCCACUCUUCCACCACUUCUUGCCAAUGACUUUAGUGGAACCAACACAUUUAAAAGUCAGGCUACUCUCCUAAAGCAAGCUUUCAGGUUGAUUUAGGAUCAAGGGUUUUCUUUUGAAAACCAUCUGUUCUUGGCUGUAUCUGUGCUCAGCUUUAGUUCCAUCACUUGUUUUAGUUCAAAUAACACAAGGUACAGUAGCACUUCCUUUGGCUGCCAAUUUUAGUCAUACAACCACAACAGCACAAUCUGAGAAUGUGUCUGACAUUUAGUGUGUGUGCUGUUUGUGUCUUCCAGACAGUUUUCCUAAGUAGGGGAGCUAGUGAAGGUAGUGAAACCCACAGAUGGGGUUUAUUAUGCUUCAGAAGCAACCAGCAUGAAUAUGAAGCAAAGUACUCAUUUUGGCUCACGGCCUGCCAGGAGCCCAGUGACUCCUUCCAGCUUCCAGCAUCACUGGGCUUCAAACCUGUCGGAGUCUAGAACACCCCUCUGGCCACCCUGGAGGGUUUGGAGACCGGACAGGGGGGUCUGGGAUCGGUACAGGGGGGUCAGUUAGACCCACACAGAUCCCAGGAGGACACUGACUCUGAUUCCUGUCCAUGGAAUGGACUCACAUGCAGGAAGAAUCACAAAUCCUAAGAAUUUAAAAUAAGUAGUGGAUGGUUUAUUAUAGAAUAUAAAUAUAGAAAUUAGGAUUCUUAGCAUAUGGGGCUGAAGAGGCAAGAUGGAGGAAUUGGGGAGUGGCCCCUGUCUUCCUUGUUCUUGCUCUCGUCCCCCAUCUU